ACACAUGCAAGUCGAGGGGCAGCAUGUUGGUUGCUUGCAACCAACGAUGGCGACCGGCGCACGGGUGAGUAACGCGUAUCCAACCUACCCUUGUCCAUCGGAUAACCCGUCGAAAGGCGGCCUAACACGAUAUGCGGUUCACAGCAGGCAUCUAACGUGAACGAAAUGUGAAGGAGAAGGAUGGGGAUGCGUCUGAUUAGCUUGUUGGCGGGGUAACGGCCCACCAAGGCUACGAUCAGUAGGGGUUCUGAGAGGAAGGUCCCCCACAUUGGAACUGAGACACGGUCCAAACUCCUACGGGAGGCAGCAGUGAGGAAUAUUGGUCAAUGGACGAGAGUCUGAACCAGCCAAGUAGCGUGCAGGAAGACGGCCCUAUGGGUUGUAAACUGCUUUUAUAGGGGGAUAAAGUGUGCCACGUGUGGCAUAUUGCAGGUACCCUAUGAAUAAGGACCGGCUAAUUCCGUGCCAGCAGCCGCGGUAAUACGGAAGGUCCAGGCGUUAUCCGGAUUUAUUGGGUUUAAAGGGAGCGUAGGCCGUUUGGUAAGCGUGUUGUGAAAUGUCGGGGCUCAACCUGGGCAUUGCAGCGCGAACUGCCAGACUUGAGUGCGCAGGAAGUAGGCGGAAUUCGUCGUGUAGCGGUGAAAUGCUUAGAUAUGACGAAGAACUCCGAUUGCGAAGGCAGCCUGCUGUAGCGCAACUGACGCUGAAGCUCGAAAGCGUGGGUAUCGAACAGGAUUAGAUACCCUGGUAGUCCACGCGGUAAACGAUGGAUGCUCGCUGUUUGCGUCUGACGUAAGCGGCCAAGCGAAAGCGUUAAGCAUCCCACCUGGGG
rnacentral:rRNA from 1 species